ACACAGUGGAGUAAUGGAAUCUUAAUCAUAACAGAUAAUUUAUUAUAUAAACCAGAACAGUCUCUGGGACAGAUUCUCAUAUAUUUUCUCACACUGUACUAUACACCUCCUAGUCCUACUUAGAUUCUAAACGCACAGGGGCAGGGCCUGUCUUUUUUCGUUCUGUUUGUUCAGCACCAAGCACAAAGGGGUGCUUGUCCAUGACUAGGGCUCCGAGAUGCUAUGUACUCCCACUUCUAUUCCACAUUGUGUGGCUUCACACCUGGAUCACCCAGGAGAUGGCAAUCAGGUGAACCUUAAUGCCUCAGAGAGAUAAAGAUGGCAGACACUUGCACAAAGACCUGACCCCAGAUGAUGGUAAAAGUGAAAGAAGGAGCAGGAGGAGAAGAAAAGGCCCCUGUUUGUGCAGGCUGUGGCUAAGGGCUCCAAUUUCAUGGUCUGGGACUUUGAGGUUUCUAUAUGAAGACACCCAAUUCUGGUUGUGGUGGCGCUUGGCUGAUGAGAAUUAAGG